rnacentral:rRNA from 1 species
UUUGCCGGUGGCCAUACCCGCGGGGCCACACCCGUUCCCAUCCCGAACACGGUCGUUAAGCCCGCGGGGCCGAUGAUACUGCGUCCCGCGGGAAAGUAGGUCACCGCCGGCAAUU